AGAUUGAACGCUGGCGGCAGGCCUAACACAUGCAAGUCGAACGGUAACAGGAAGAAGCUUGCUUCUUUGCUGACGAGUGGCGGACGGGUGAGUAAUGUCUGGGAAACUGCCUGAUGGAGGGGGAUAACUACUGGAAACGGUAGCUAAUACCGCAUAACGUCGCAAGACCAAAGAGGGGGACCUUCGGGCCUCUUGCCAUCGGAUGUGCCCAGAUGGGAUUAGCUAGUAGUGGGGUAACGGCUCACCUAGCGACGAUCCCUAGCUGGUCUGAGAGGAUGACAGCCACACUGGAACUGAGAC
rnacentral:rRNA from 1 species